UUCACAACGACAUUGCUCACAUUGCUUCCAGUUUAGCUGGCCAACUCAUUUGAGUUGGCCUUUUUUU
rnacentral:antisense_RNA from 1 species